rnacentral:rRNA from 1 species
UACGUAGGUGGCAAGCGUUGUUCGGAAUGACUGGGCGUAAAGGGCGUGUAGGUGGACUGAUCAGUCGGGUGUGAAAUAUCCAGGCUCAACCUGGAGGGUGCAUCCGAUACGGUCAGUCUUGAGUGCAGGAGAGGGCAGUGGAAUUCCCAGUGUAGCGGUGAAAUGCGUAGAUAUUGGGAGGAACACCAGUGGCGAAGGCGGCUUUCUGGACUGAUACUGACGCUGAGGAACGAAAGCGUGGGGAGCAAACAGGAUUAGA